AACGGUACUCCGGGGAUAACAGGCUAAUUCCUCCCAAGAGUUCAUCUCGACGGAGGAGUUUGGCACCUCGAUGUCGGCACAUCACAUCCUGGGGCUGAAGUAGGUCCCAAGGGUAUGGCUGUUCGCCAUUUAAAUUGGUACGCGAGCUGGGUUCAGAACGUCGUGAGACAGUUCGGUCCCUAUCUGACGUGGGCGUUAGAGAUUUGAGAAGAGUUGCUCCUAGUACGAGAGGACCGGAGUCAACGAACCACUGGCGUUCCGGUUGAUUCGCCAGAAGCAUU
rnacentral:rRNA from 1 species